rnacentral:rRNA from 1 species
AGAACGAACGCUGGCGGCAUGCCUAACACAUGCAAGUCGAACGCUCUUGAGGCUUCGGUUUCAAGGGAGUGGCGCACGGGUGAGUAGCGCGUGGGAACCUGCCCUGUUGUGGGGGAUAACCGAGGGAAACUUCGGCUAAUACCGCAUGCGCCCGGGGAAACCCGGGGAAAGAUUUAUCGCAGCAGGAGGGGCCCGCGUCGGAUUAGGUAGUUGGUAGGGUAACGGCCUACCAAGCCUUUGAUCCGUAGCUGGUCUGAGAGGAUGAUCAGCCACACUGGGACUGAGACACGGCCCAGACUCCUACGGGAGGCAGCAGUGGGAAUAUUGGACAAUGGGCGCAAGCCUGAUCCAGCAAUGCCGCGUGAGUGAUGAAGGCCUUAGGGUUGUAAAGCUCUUUCGCCCGCGACGAUGAUGACGGUAGCGGGAGAAGAAGCCCCGGCUAACUUCGUGCCAGCAGCCGC